rnacentral:lncRNA from 1 species
GUAUUACCUGGGUAGUAACGUGGUAAUUGACGCACUCAGCAGAAAAAGUGCAGGUACAUUAGCUCAUUUGAUGGUUUUAGAAUGCAAAAAAAUAGGGGCUGCACAACAGGUACGCCUUCAGGACCUGAAGAGAGUUACAUGUUUGGCCCACGUGACUGUUUAACCUGAGUUGAUUCGGAGAAUAAAGGAAGCCCAAUCUGUCGAUUCC